GACAAUCCAGAAGAAUUUAUGGGAAAGAAUUCUAGCUACAUCCAGAGAAAGAACUGGAAGAUUAGAAAUGCAAAGCAACAUAUGAUCGAUCAGUAAUCCUGGAAGGUAGGAGAUUUUAUUCCCAUUUUCCAGAUGAAGAAAGACACCGACUGAGGUAGUCAAAAAGUCCAGCAACUUGCACAUUGCUGUAGUGACUUGGGAGCAAUGACUUUGGCAAGAAACUUAAAAGAUCAUUGUAACUAUUCAUGACAAUCAUCCAACUCCCUCAUUUUGCAUUUGAAGAAACUAAGUCCAUGGAAGGUGAACUAAUUUCUGGGGAAUCCUACAUCCAGAAGAAGUCUAUUGAUUUGGGGAUGAAGACGGCUGAGGAAAAACUGAACACAUCAAUAAAACCUUUUGCCAAAAAAGGAAGAAAAAGGAAAUUAAAUGAAGUAAUCUUGACUAAGAUAUAAUAUAUGUGGGAAAUACUAUGAAAACCCUUUAUGUUGCUGAGGAUGUGGAGAAAGAAUAAAAAUUGCCUUAUUCAUUUAUCUGUUAUUCCA
rnacentral:lncRNA from 1 species